AGAUCUCUAUAGCGAAGGCAAAGAGGAUCGAAAUGAUUUCGUCAGAAAAGUGUUCAUCAUAUUGUUUGUUAUGCUGCUCGUCACGUUUGGAUUUAAUUUACUAGUAAUGAUGAACGAGGACUUAAGAGACUUCUUCAAAACAUAUUUCUUGUUUAUAAUGAUUCCUUGCAUCAUUGUGUUGGCUGGGAUGGGAUGUUGUAUGUCAACCAUGGA